rnacentral:rRNA from 1 species
AGUUCGGUCCCUAUCCGUCGCAGGCGUAGGAAAUUUGAGAAGACCUGUCCUUAGUACGAGAGGACCGGGAUGGACGUACCUCUGGUGUACCAGUUGUCCUGCCAAGGGCAUGGCUGGGUAGCUAUGUACGGAAUGGAUAAGCGCUGAAAGCAUCUAAGCGCGAAGCCAACUUCAAGAUAAGAUGUCCCACCGCAAGGGUAAGACCCCAGAAAGACUAUCUGGUUGAUAGGUCGAAGGUGUAAGUGCAGCAAUGUAUUUAGCUUAUCGAUACUAAUAGGUCGAGGACUUGACCAAU